rnacentral:rRNA from 1 species
GACGAACGCUGGCGGCGUGCUUAAUACAUGCAAGUCGAGCGGAAAGGCCCUGAUUUUGUGUGUUUCUCGUUUGGCGAGCGGGUGAGUAUAACGUGAGUAUAAUGCACUUGUCUUUGGGAUAACUUCACGAAACUGCGGCUCUUAUCGCAUAGGAGCUCUUGAUGCAUGGUGUUGGAUGGUAAGUUUCGGCGGUUGUGGAUGGACUCGCUGCUUAUCAGCUUGUUGGUGGAGUAGUGAAUUACCAAGGCUUUGACGGCUAGCCGGCAUGAGAGGGUAACCAGCCACAUGGGGACUGAGAGACGGCCCAGACUCCUACGGUAGGCAGCAGUGGGGAAUAUUGCACAAUGGGCGGAAGCCUGAGGCAGCAACGCCGCGUGCGGGAUAACGUCUUUCUGGUGGUAAACCGCUUUCGCCGGAGACGUAGCGUGAUUGACGGUAAUGGGUAAAAAAGCACCGGCUAACUACGUG